rnacentral:rRNA from 1 species
GAGUUUGAUCGUGGCUCAGGAUGAACGCUGGCGGCGUGCCUAAUACAUGCAAGUCGAGCGAACAGACGAGGAGCUUGCUCCUCUGACGUUAGCGGCGGACGGGUGAGUAACACGUGGAUAACCUACCUAUAAGACUGGGAUAACUUCGGGAAACCGGAGCUAAUACCGGAUAAUAUAUUGAACCGCAUGGUCAUAGUGAAGACGGUUUGUCUGUCACUUA